AGUUCGUCGUCGUAUUCGAGCG
rnacentral:snRNA from 1 species